rnacentral:lncRNA from 1 species
GCUAGAGAAGCUUGGUCAUUGAUGAAGUCCGAAAGAAGUUCAGAAUAGAAAUCUGGCUGGUGGAGCCCGUCCGUUGUAGAACUUCAUCUGGGAUCCAUCCACUGUAGAAGUUCGGAUGGAGUCUGGCUCUUGUAGGAGCUUGGAUGAAGUCCACUUUUAAUAGAAGUUCGGAGUAGAGUCAAUCAUGGCUGGAAGAAGUCUGGAAGAGAUUCAGAGAAUAGUCGAUCACUGUAGAAAAUCGGCUGAUAGUGAAGCUCAGAAAGCGUUUGGAGUAGCCCGGUAGAUGAAUGGAGGAGCUCAUUAUCGGAGAAGUUUGGAUGGUAUUAUGGAAGCUCAGAC